rnacentral:piRNA from 1 species
UGGGCUAUAAAAUUGGCUAUGGUAGU